rnacentral:rRNA from 1 species
CUUGAACGCUGGCGGUAGGCCUAACUCCUGCAAGUCGAACGAGUGGCGGACGGGUGAGUACUGCUUGGGAAACUGCCUGAUGGAGGGGGAUAACUCCUGUACACGGUAGCUAAUACCGCUUACCAUCAGAUCUGCCCAGCUGGGAUUAGCUUGUUGGUGGGGUAACAGCUCACCAAGGCGGCGAUCCCUAGCUGGUCUGAGAGGAUGACCAGCCACACUGGAACUGGGACAUGGUCGAGACUCUUACGGGAGGCAGCAGUGGGGAAUAUUGCACUAUGGGCGCAAGCCUGAUGCAGCCAUGCCGCGGGUAUGAAGAAGGCCUUCGGGUUGUAGAGUACUUUCAGCUGGGAUGCGUGACCCGCAGAGGAAGCACCGGCUAACUCCGUGCCAGCAGCCGCGGUAAUUC